CUGCUCCCUCUCUCUGUUUCUCUCUCUCUCUCUCUCUCUCGCGCGCGCCUUAGAGCUCUCUUCGUCCCUGCCCUGUCUAAGCUGUCCCGGACAUCAUCUUUUGAGAUUCCAUGUGGCAGAACUAAGAACCCAAACGUAGGCAGUCGCAGUUGGAGGAAUGUCUUGUGGAUGAUGCUGAUGGCUGCCUUGUUCUGUGAUGUCAACCUGGGCCGUGGUCUUCGCAAGCUCCAUGACUUCCACUCAACCCGGAAUGGGAAGACAAGGUCUCAUGCGCAUGCCCAAAAUCUAUGUUCCUAUUCUUUGCAGCAUAUAUAUCUCAAAAGACUAGACAUUAAGCAAGUGAAAGUCAAGCGAAGAUUUAAGCUUCGCCAAGCUUCUUUUGGGAAGAAUGCUCAUAGUUCUGAAUUGGCAAAAGAAGAUGAUAUUUCCAUGGCAACAUUGAUAUGGAGGGCAAUCCAGUGGCCAAUUUACUCUGUUGCUCUUGUUCCUCUUUCGCGCGAUGGAAGUACAGCCUAGAAUAAUGAGAAGUCAAUGGAAGGAUGCAGGAAGAUGAAAGAACAUAAAAGGAGUACAAGUUUUGGUGUAUGGUCGCUUCUCUCUGUGGAGAUAUAUAUUCUAAAUUCUAAUGUGGAUUUCAAAAAAGAAAUCGAGUAUGUUGCUACGCAACCGCAAAUAUUACCGUCAGAGGGGUCCUUUUCUUACUAACGCUUGUAAAUACAGAGAUCUAUAAGUUCAGUUAAUUCAGUCAUUUGUAGGUCUGUCAUAAAAGUAAUUUACCAGAUAUACUGGGUUUGAGAGUGUCCUUAGGGUUAAUGGAACAAAAAAUUUAAAUGGUGUAACAUAAUUCUAGCUUAAUGAAUAUGACAGUAAUUUUAUAUGGCC